CACCCAGCUGCUGCUUGUCGGACAGGGGCAGGCUGAGUGUGGCUGCUGCUCCUCGGACCAGUGCGGGUUGUGC